rnacentral:rRNA from 1 species
CCAACUCCAGCACAGGCCCUACCACGUUGUCUCAUCACAGCCACGGACGAAUACGACUGCUCAACAACGCACAGACGCCAGCAGAAGCCGUUUUCUUGACCGCUCCAAUGCAAAUGCCACCGGACACAUGGUGGAACCACUCUGUGUGUGCUGAGCG